rnacentral:rRNA from 1 species
ACAGGGAUUGCCCUAGUAACGGCGAGUGAAGCGGCAACAGCUCAAAUUUGAAAUCUGGCGUCUUUGGCGUCCGAGUUGUAAUUUGCAGAGGGCGCUUUGGCAUUGGCAGCGGUCCAAGUUCCUUGGAACAGGACGUCACAGAGGGUGAGAAUCCCGUACGUGGUCGCUAGCCUUUACCGUGUAAAGCCCCUUCGACGAGUCGAGUUGUUUGGGAAUGCAGCUCUAAAUGGGAGGUAAAUUUCUUCUAAAGCUAAAUACUGGCCAGAGACCGAUAGCGCACAAGUAGAGUGAUCGAAAGAUGAAAAGCACUUUGGAAAGAGAGUUAAAAAGCACGUGAAAUUGUUGAAAGGGAAGCGCUUGCAGCCAGACUUGCCUGUAGUUGCUCAUCCGGGUUUUUACCCGGUGCACUCUUCUAUAGGCAGGCCAGCAUCAGUUUGGGCGGUUGGAUAAAGGUCUCUGUCAUGUAACUCUCUUCGGGGAGAACUUAUAGGGGAGACGACAUGCAACCAGCCUGGACUGAGGUCCGCGCAUCUGCUAGGAUGCUGGCGUAAUGGCUGUAAGCGGCCCGUCUUGAAACACGGACCAAGGAGUCUAACAUCUAUGCGAGUGUUUGGGUGUCAAGCCCGAGCGCGUAAUGAAAGUGAACGGAGGUGGGAACCUUUCGGGGUGCACCAUCGACCGAUCCUGAUGUCUUCGGAUGGAUUUGAGUAAGAGCAUAGCUGUUGGGACCCGAAAGAUGGUGAACUAUGCUUGAAUAGGGUGAAGCCAGAGGAAACUCUGGUGGAGGCUCGCAGCGGUUCUGACGUGCAAAUCGAUCGUCAAAUUUGGGCAUAGGG